rnacentral:lncRNA from 1 species
AUGCAUAUUAGCUAAAUAAGCUACACCAGUUCAUGUAGAUUUGCAUAAUCCACAACCAUCAACAAUAGACAAUUCAUUAAUCUAAGUACUGCACUUUCUUAAAAUCUUCAAAACUUGAAGACUUCCUUCUCUACGCGAUUUUCAACCAGCGAGAGUGUUUACGUGUCCAGUAUUGGCAGAGAGCGUUUUAUUCAACAACCAUGAGACAAUCAAGCGCGAAGCCUGCAUUUACACUUCAGCUGAGCGCAGAGGCAGUCAAUAGCUUAUCCCAUUUGCACACUCCACGAUGUAUCCCACACCGCUGGGUCCCUAGGGCUUCGAGCCCAGAAGGGAGCGUAGCGUAGUGGAGUAGCUGCCUGGAGAAUCCCAAGAUCCUGGACAGUGCCAUGACCUCUCUGAACCCUUCCUCCACUCCCACGGGAUGCCAGACGCCCAGAAACGGCAACAAAUAUCCUCCCGCGCUCCCCCUAUCCCCAAGGCCGCCUGGAGUUCACCAAUUCGCAGCUACGCCGUCUUCAUCAUCUGCAGCAUCGCGACAGCGACCUCCUACACGGUUGUAUGGCACUGGCGUACGGCGUAUAUCUCCCGCAUGUGACUGUUGCGUACAAGUUGUCUGGGGAUUGUUCACCAAAGCAAACGUAGUGAAGGAAGGGAGGAGGGCCGUGGCCCGAGGGUGGCGAACAACAGUGCAGUGAAAGAAAAGGCAUUCGCGUAGGCCCGCGG